GAAGAGCAGCGGAGCAGAGCCGGAGGACGGAGCUUCGAGUCCGACGCUGAAUUCUGAACUUCCCGCUGAAAUUAUCUGAAUUGUCCCGCUGGAUAUCUCAUUUAUUAUCAUUUAUUAUCAUUUAUUAUCAUUUACUAGAUCUCGGUGGAUUCUCCCACCAAACGGAGACGAAGCUUUGGGUGAACCGAUGAGCGGCAGCGGUCGGAGCCUUUAGCCGGUUAGCUGCUGCUGCCUGCCGUGGCCGCUGAGGACAUGGGCCGAGGAGACGGACCAAAGCGGGGCAGACCCCCCAUGGGACCCCCUAUGGGACCCCCGCCUGACGACGGAUCUCCAUUCGACGUGGGGCCACCGGGCUGGGGGCCUCCGCCCCACGGGGGUUGGGGCCCUCCGCCGCCUGGAGGCUGGGGUCCUCCCCCGCCUGGAGGCUGGGGUCCUCCCCCGCCGGACGGGUGGCCUCCUCCCACGGAGGAGUGGGGCCCUCCGCCGCCCGGAGGAUGGGGGCCGAGACGGCCUCCGCCUCCGGACUGGGACCUCAGAGGACCUCCGCCGCCGGGCUGGGGGCCUCACCCCGACGACUGGCUUGGUCCUCCGGAGGACUGGGGCCGUCACCCCGACCCCUGGAGGCGUCCACACCCCGACGACUGGAGGCUUCACCUGGACGACCUGAGACAUCCCCGGGAGGAGUGGCGGCUCCGCCCCGAGGACUGCUGCCCCGACAGGCCUCUGCCUCCGCCGGGUUGGGGACCUCCGGACAGGGGUCCGGAAGGUCCUCCUGAGCCGUGGGGACCCGAGCCUGGACCUCCCGUCCCGCCUCCAGUGCCUCCUCCGGGUCUGCCGCCGCCUGUCGGGAUUCCUCCUUCGGACCCCGCAGCCUUCGGCCCGGCGCCGCUCCCUCCGAUCCCACCGCCGGCCUGUGUCCCUCCAUUCGGGUUCCCGGCCUUCCCUCCGCCCGGCUGGACAGCGGAGACGGUGGUGGAAGAACCGAUGCCGAACCCGCCUCCUGAUCAGCCAGAGUGGAUCAAAGCUCUGAUUUCGGCUCCGGCUGCCGAUUCGACUCCAGCUGAGACUAAAAAGCCUCCAGAGGAACCGGCCGUCCCCAAAGCGCUUGCCCCUGAGCCAGAACCAGCACCCAAACCCAAACCCAGACCCAGACCCGAGUCCAGGAGGAGCAAAGGUCUAGGGCUGCUGGGGAAACGAAUGUUCGAAAAACCUCCUCCUGGAAGAUCUACAGGAAUCAUCUCCUUUAUCGGGCCGUCGUUUGGCUACAUAGAACGUGAGGAUCUGGAGAAGUUCACGUUCAGCUUCGAUGCCUUCUUUGGGAACCCUAAAGCAAUGACCCCUGGAGUCCGAGUCCACUUCACCGCCUGCAGGGAGAAGAACGCUAGUUUGAUCGCGACGGAUGUGAAAGUGGCUCCAGGUGGAACUGAGAACGUCGACACGGAGAUUUAUGAAGCCGUCGUCAGUCAGCCGAUCACAGAACAGCAGCAGCCCGGGGAGCGAGCCUAUCCCGGCCAGGUGUACGUGGACAUCGGCCCUCUGAGGACCAACCUGCCCUUCGACAGGAAGGACAGCACGGUGACGCUGCUAAAGAACGACCAAGUCCUCAUCAACCUGCUGACCGACAUCGUGUCCGAGAAGAGGAGGGCCACCAACGUCAAGCCCAAGAUCCCUGCCACCUUCAGCCACACCGGGGAGGUCCGAGAGAAGGGAGUCAUCGUCAGCCUGAAGGACGGAGAAGGAAUCAUCAGGUCGGAGGAACACGGAGAACUUCCCUUCGACAUCAAAGAGAACUUCAGUGACGUGGACUUCACUGAGGAAGACGCCAACGAGGAGGUGGAGUUCACCGUGGUGGAGCUGAGGUCAGGGAAGAGAGCCAUCAGGAUCCAGCGAGUCAAGGAGCCCCUCCUCCUCACGCUAUGCUCCGCCUCCUCUGAUGUCAUCGCCCCCAUCGCCGAGGAGACCGACGGCGACGGCGACGAGGAGUUGAUGAAGAUGAAGAGGAAAGCCAAGGUGGAGCUGGGACCCAACAUGAGGCUGGACCCGGAGCUGUACGAGGGCAUCGUGAGCCAGCCAAUCAUAGAGCCCUCGCCCAACAUGCCCGGGUAUCCUGGUCAGAUUCACGCCAACAUCGGCCCCAUCAGGACCAACGUGACGUUUGACCAUCGGGAUUGCGGCGUGACGCUGCUGAAGAACGACCACGUCCUCAUCAACCUGCUGGUGGACCUGGUGACCAGGAAGAGGAGGGCGGCAAACAUCAAGCCCAAGAUCCCCUUCACCUUCAGCUACACCAAGGAGACCAGAGAGCUGGGCAUCAUCAGCCGUCUGGGAGAUGAGGAGGGCGUCAUCUCCUCAGAGGAACACGGAGAACUUCCCUUCGAUGUCUGCGAAAACUUCAGCGACACCGAGUUCAACGCCAACGACAUCCACAAAGAGGUGGAGUUCACAGCGAUGACGGUGAAGUCCAGGAAGAGGGCGAUCAGGCUGAGGAGGACGAAGAAGGUUGCAGACCAAAUCCUGCACGAGCAGAAACGACGAGAGGAAGAGGAGAAGAAGAAGAAGGAGGAGCAGGAGAAGGAGGCGGAGAAGGAGGCAGAGAAGAAGAAGAAGGAGGAAGUAGCUGCAGCACUAGCAGCUGCCCAGGACAAAUGGACGCCGUUCGGCUUCAAAACCAGAGACCCCGACUCACUGGAUGAGAUCAGCAAAGAGCGAUUCGAAGGAACUGUCCUCAAAGCCAUCUCCAAAGCUCCACGCAAGGAGAUCAAGAAGGAACCGGAGGAGGUCCAGGUGGAGCGAGGAGGCACCGAGAACGGACAGACGGAGAACAUGGAGGACGGUGUGAAGGGAGCAGUGGAGGUGAAGGUGGAGGUGAAGAAAGAGGACGAGGAGGCGGAGCUGACACCUGUAGCAGGGGGCGGAGCCAAACCAGACCCAGAGAUGGGUCGACUGGUGAUGACCGUCGAGGGUCAACAGAAGCAGCUUCCCUUCGGUCCCAAAGACCUGCUGAGCAGCGCCACCAUGCUGGAUGGAGACAAGGUCCGUUUCAACAUCGCCACCAAUCCACAGACCAAAGAGGAGCGAGCGACGUACGUGGAGAUCCUCCCCGACUCCUUUGAGGAGUCCAUCGAACAGCGUCGACAUGGCAUCGUUAUCGAGUUCUUCCAGGACUCUGGGCUCAUCAAGUGCACUCAGAACCCUCAGCUCUACUUCCACAUGUCUGAGGUGAUCGAGAAGAAGAAGCUGGAGCUGAAUGAGAAGGUCGAGUUCAGCGUCGUCCCGCAUGAGACGGCGGAAGGAGGAAACCAGGCCAUCAGGAUAAAACGCUACACAGAGAGCGUUUUCCUCCACGUCCGGAAACUCGGGGGUGUCGGUGCAAUCAAAGGAAAGAUGACCAUCAAGCUGACAAAAGCAGAAGAGAAGGAAAAACCAGAGAUGGACAAGCUGAAAGCCAUUGUGAAAAACCUCAGAGCGCAGGACAGCAAGCCAGUCAGGAAGGAUCACGGCUCUGCUCGCCGUAAAUAUGGCCGCAGCGGGACUAGAAGCAGGAGCAGGAGUCGGAGUCGGGCUCGGAGUCGAAGUAAAAGUAGGAGUCCGCCAAGGGACCAAUUUGGACGUGUUGUCAAGAGGAAACGCAGCCCCAGCGUUGAACGUGACCGCAAGAGUAGCAAGUACAGACGCAGCCGGGAGACGUCGCACCGGCGCAGCAGAAGCCGCUCAAAGAGUCGCAGCAAGAGCUCGAGCAGAAGUCGCAGCAGGAGCAGGGAGAGGAGUAGAGACAGAGCCGCCAAGAAGAAGAGCAAAGUCAGCAGAGAACGAGAGGAAAGCCACAAGAGGAGGAGGGAGCUGAGUCCUCCGACCAGGAGAGGAGGAGUCAUGGACGACGAACUGGCGAGGAAGAAACGGGAGCUGGAGGAGCUGAAUGAGAUGAUCGCCUAUAAGAAGUCCCUGGUGGACCCAAGAGGACCGGACCCCGGCCAGAGGACCUGCAUAGACUACGACCAUGGCAGGAUUGCUGUCCCGCUCACCGAGUACAAACCAGUCCGGUCCAUCCUGAAGAAACGACCAGAGGGACCCGAAUACCUCCAUCAUCCUCCUUAUGAUGAUCCCUACUAUGACCGGGCAUACGGUCCUUACCAAGAUCGGCGGUAUGCGGAGCGCUAUGGCAACCCGUACGCCAGCCGGCCCUAUGCUGAUUGGCCUUACGCUGACCAUCCAUAUGGGGACCGCCCUUUUGAAAGUCGUGUCUAUGCUGAACCUCCCUAUGGUGGCCCGCUACCUGCCCCCCGCCGGUACACCGAUCGCUACGAUGUCUAUGAUGAACCCUAUGACGAUCGCUACUAUGACCUGGCAUACGUGGACCGACCGUGUGAUCCAUAUCUCCCAGUCAAACAGAGCCAGUCUCCCGAACCCCACCAUCUCUCGCCACCCUCUCAGUCUGGUCAAAGCCCCACUGCUUCCACUCAAACUCAUUUGAAAGAUUCUGCUGCCACUUCAUCCUCUGAACCGCCUUUAAGGCCUCCUUCUCCGGUAGUGCCGCCUCCUCGAAGCCCUUCUCCCAGACUGAAGCUCACCACCUUACACCCGUCAUCUCCCGCUGAGAAACCGCCUCUGGACCGCUUCCUCGACAUGCUCAACAAAAAAGUUGAUGCUGAGAAGGAAGCAGAGCCGGUUCAUGUUAGUGACGACCUGCUGCCUCAUGAGCGGGCUCUUCAGGAUGGCAAAGGCUUCUCCCGGAUUGUAGGGUUGACUCAAGAGCCACCCAGCAGCAGUCUGGUUCUGGAAGUGGAGCAGAAGAAACCAAGUCCUAAACGGUCCUUAGUAGAGGGGACGAGCGAGGAUCCAACGACAGAACCCUACGACAAGAUCCAAAGUCUUCUCCGUACAAUCGGCCUGAAGCUGAGUACCGGAGAUGUGUCCAAACUGGCCAGUCGAGCACAGGAGAAAAUCUACAGCCCCAAGCUGUCCUCCACUGAAAGAGAGACUUUAUCGUCUCCAAGGGAAGACUUGCGAACGAGCAGAACCAGUUCUGUGGAAUUUGAUCACAUUCAUUCUCCGUCCCGUGUUAGAUCCUCUAGUUUGGAACCACUCAGCAGACAUCCAACCUCCACAUCCAAGUACAAGGAAUUCCUGGACCAGGAGGAGUUGGAGACUCUAAAGAACACACAACAGCUGCAAAGUCUUACCAAGACGAGAGGGACCACACCCUCCAGCACCCCUUCCCCCAAGCCUCCUCCUGGGCCUCCCCCUGCUCACUACCAACAUCCACCUCUACCAGUCAACUGGCCAAUUGGCAUCACUUCCCACAUUUUCCCUUCACAGACCUCGACAUCAACAAUUAUUGAAGCUCCAUCUCCUCCUGCCACUGGGCAGCCACACCUGCGACCUCCAGGACCUCCACCUGGACCUCCUCCACGGCGUCCUGGACAGCCACCUCCAGGACCUCCUCCUGGACCUCCACCCCGGCGCCCUAUUGGACAACCUCCUUUCACUCCACCCUCCAGUUAUUCAGUUUUGCCUUUUAUCGGCACUCCUGACCCAACUCUGCUCCCUAACUCCUCCAGUCCUCCACACCCUUUGACCACUGCCAUGGCAACCCUACCAUUAUCCACACCAGCAACCUCAAUUCCUUCAGGCGAUGACUCAUCAGCCAUCUCCACCACAGUGGCUCGGUGCUUGAAGGUCAUAGAGACGGUGAAAUGUCUUGCUGUGCAGCCACCAGCCAAACCAACCAAAUCGGUCCAGUUCAGUUUACCGACAGAGUCCCCGUCAGCUGCCAGUCCUCCAUCUUCAGCGGCGGCAGACGAUGACAUCAAGACUAAGCAGAAGGAAAAGUUGGAUUUGUACAACCAGCGGCUUCUGGAAAAGAGAGAGCAGCAGUACAAAGACAUGCAAGCUCGCAAGAAGCAAGGAGAGAAGGACGGAACCCUGAUGGCUGCAGGUAUCACAACCUGUUGGUUUACAGAUGCUCCUCCUAACUAGAAACGCUUGGAUUACAGGGACUUUACCUCCAGUAACAUGAUGUUCAUACAUUUUCAAGUAUACAGCUGCAUGCCAUUUAUGUGAUUCACGCUGUUUUUAUUUAACUCGACAGGUACUUUGAGCAGGUUAAAGUAGAUAACUUCCUCCCAGGUAGAAACACAGGCUUCAUCUAGAACCAGUAAACCUAUGACUUGUGAGCUAGCGUCAGGCCCGGUGGUCCAGUGCUCUGUAGGGUUCUGUCCAGAUGAUUCUCUGGACCUCCUGACGUGUUAACAGAGCACAUAGAAACAUUGCACUGCCACAAAGGUUCCUCCUGUUAUCUGAUCCUAGUGGUUCGUCCCAGCCAUCAAGAAGCCGACUGCUAUCUCCCUCCACACCUCCACACUACCGUCAUCUUCCUCCUCUUACGGUGACUCUAUGGUUAUCUAGCUUGCACUGAAGGCUGUAAGUCAUCGUAUCACUAUGUAGUCAGAUCAGUUAUUAUAAACUAAAUUACUAAUACCAACUCUAUAAAUUUAAUAUUUUAGAAAUCAGCCCUUAUCAUUAGCUAGAUGUGUAGACACUGAGAAUUUUUAAGCCAGCUUGUUCCAUUUCCAGCGUAGAUGUGUUUACACUCAGUGCUCACUCUGGUCCAGCUUCUGCACACAUUUCCUUUGGAACAUCACAUCUGGAUUUGAACCCAGAUGUUGUGGGGUCAGUCGGUGCAUCGGCCAAUCAGUCGUCGAAACUAGAAUAUUUUACAUAGAAAAUGUCUUCAGUCCAGCUGCACAGUGGUUCGGUGGUUAGUGCCGUCGCCCUGGUUCAUGUCCCGGCCCUCCUGGGAUCUUUCUACAUGGAGUCUCCAGGUUCUCCUGCUGGGUUCUCCAGGUUCCUCCCACAGUCCAAAGACCUGCUGAGGUUAAUCAGUGAGUCUAAACUAUCUGUACGUGUGAAUGUUUGUCUCUCUACACAGAGACAAACAUUCACACUAUGUUGUUUCAGCUCCAAACUGAAACUAUAAAAGAAGUUGUCGGUGUGGCUGCUUGUGGCCCAAACUGAUGGAUAAAAAGUCAAGUGUAAACUUUGCAAACAGCAGUUUACCGAUCACAUCUCAACGACCAACAUGGCCGAGCAUCUAAAACCAGGACAGUCUACGGGUUAAAGCUCAGUCUGUGUGUUAAAGCUCAGUCUACGGGUUAAAGCUCAGUCUAUAGGUUAAAGCUCAGUCUACGGGUUAAAGCUCAUUCUGUGGGUUAAAGCUCAGUCUACAGGUUAAAGCUCAGUCUACAGGUUAAAGCUCAGUCUGUGGGUUAAAGCUCAGUCUACAGGUUAAAGCUCAGUCUACAGGUUAAAGCUCAGUCUACGGGUUAAAGCUCAGUCUACGGGUUAACGCUCAGUCUACGGGUUAAAGCUCAGUCUACGGAUUAAAGCUCAGUCUACGGGUUAAAGCUCAGUCUGUGGGUUAAAGCUCAGUCUACGGGUUGAAGCUCAGUCUACGGGUUAAAGCUCAGUCUGUGGGUUAAAGCUCAGUCUACGGGUUAAAACUCAGUCUACGGGUUAAAGCUCAGUCUAUAGGUUAAAGCUCAGUCUACAGGUUAAAACUUAGUCUAUAGGUUAAAGCUUAGUCUACGGGUUAAAGCUCAGUCUAUGGGUUAAAGCUCAGUCUAAGGGUUAACGCUCAGUCUGCGGGUUAAAGCUCAGUCCGCGGGUUAAAGCUCAGUAGUUGUGUUUCUUGACAGCUUUAAUGGGAGAUAACACCACACAGAUCCUUUCCUGGAGAGAAGGACGCCUAAAGUUCUGUCAGAACGUUCUGCCAGGUUGGACUAAACAGGAACCGCUGAGUGUAAACAGCUAGCUUUAGAUACACCCAGAACUUUACUCCAGGUCUUCCAGGUAGCUGAUGCUGUCUGCUCAGAAAGACAUGAAGUCUACUCAGUAUGAAGGAUGGAUGCAAUCAUCUGGUCCAGGUCUCAGUAGGACCUCCAGGUCUCAGUAGGACCUGGUCCAGGUCACAGUAGGACCUCCAGGUGUCAGUAGGACCUGGUUCAAGUCUCAGUAGGACCUCCAGGUCACAGUAGGACCUGGUCCAGGUCACAGUAGGACCUGGUUCAGGUCUCAGUAGGACCUCCAGGUCUCAGUAGUCCAGAUGUAAACAUGUGGAGCUGACUGAGAGUCUAUCAGGUUGAGUCCAGGACUACCACCAGGUUUCAUGUUUGGUUGUUCUGAAGCUCAGAUGGACGUUUAAACCUACAGGAGACGUUAGCUGCUUCUGAUUUCCAGCCCGUUGCGUCCUGCGUUAGCGGCAGUUCGUUAUCUCUUUCCUCCACCAGAGUCCCUCUUCAAUGUUCACGUCUUUUUUUCAUCAGAUCAGUGAGUUGAGGCUGUAAAUCUCAUGAAUCAGGACCUCCACUGUUGGUGAGUAAGUCGUUUGUGACCAGUUUGCUGCAGCAGCCAGCGUUUUCCAGCUCAGAACGUUUGUGGUUCAGCUAAUUACUUCGGCUAGUUUACUGAGUGCUAAUGUUGAAUAUUUAGCAGCUACCGUUAAAAACCAGUAUUUCUGACGGGUCGCUCUUCAUCCAGUCCGACUUUGUAUUGGAGUUAUUUGUAGGUUUAGCUACGUGUGAAUGAUGAAAGCUAAACUUCAGCUAAAUGUGAGAUUAAAGCUGAUUUUCUCACUAAGUUUUUAUCUUAUUCAUCAAUUUUUCAGCAAACUAAAGCGUGUAAAUAAAUGUUCUACCUGAAGCUGUUAGAACCGCCUGUAUUCAGGUUCUAAGAGUUAGUGCUCUUUGUUUAGUCCUGGACGAGCUUCAGUUAAGUUCUCAGCUCGUUUGUGGCAUUUUUAGUUCAGUAAAUAAAUACUGAACCUUUUUUAUUUCGGGAUAAAGUCCCAACAGCAGCAUGAUGGAAGCAUCCAGAGUGUAGAGAACGUAAGAGACGUUCUAGGGAACACUUAAACCCAGGAACCAGCAGAACGCUGCUGCUGCAGGACCAGUGAGGACGCAGAAACUCCUUUUAUUUCUUUGUACAAAUGUUACGCAGGACUUUGCAUUUGGCCGGGGUACGUCUUUGCGCAGCUAGUAGCGCUUCAGGGUAAGUCCAGUUUGCUGAUUUGUUUUUGCAUCAAACUGACUUCAGUCGUCUUUGCCAGGUUUCCCAAUGCGUUUUAUUUUGGAAAUCCGGAGAGCUGCUGUCCCGUAAACACAUCAUGCCUUCCUGAUUAAUGUACAGUAAAACACCCUUUAAGGUACUGGUUUAAAUGAACAGGUAACACACUGGUUUAAUACAGCAAAGCUCGUAUCAAACAGGCUUAAAGAAACAGGAUCCUGGUGGUUCCGCCUGUAAGCUCAUGUUCUUCUACACCGCCCAGCCAAAAAAAACCACACUGAUAUUUAAUUGGACCUUUAGCUCUGAGAACGGCGCUCAUUCACCGUGGCAUCAUUUCUAUAAGCUUCUGCAACGUCACAGCAUUUAUUUCUGUCUGGAGAUGGAUUCAUUUUCUACAUAGAUCUUCUAUUGAUGAUGGGACAGUCGGACCAAAGUCUCCUCCAGAACAUCCCCAGAGGUCCUCAGUGGGGCUGAGGUCUGGACUCUGGAGGACAAUCCAUCUCAUGCUCCCUGAUCCACUCAUUCUCAAUGUGACCCCAUGAAUCCUCAUCGUCAUCUAGGAACAUGAAGAAAACCUCCACUGAUGGAAAGACCUGGUCCUUCAGUAUCUUCAGGUAUCAGCUGACCUCAUUCUUUGGGAACAUAACGUUGCUGAACCUGACCAACCCUAGAUCAUAACCCUAACCCCCACAGGCUGGUAGGAACUAGCCAUGAUGAGGGCAUCACUUCAUCCACCUCUCUUCUUAUCCUGAUGCCCUCAUCACUCUGGAACAGGGUAAAUCUGGACUCAUCAGACCACAUUAGCUCCUGGAGAUGAUGGUUCUCCACUAUCCUUCAGGUUUUAAUGAUGCGUUGGAUGGUUCUUAACCUGAUUUUAGUCAUUUCAUCUCUUUAGUUGUUUGCCAAUAAUUUGAGCCUUCUGAGACAGAUUAACAUCCUUUCAUGACCACAGGAUAUGUCUUCCAACAUGGUUGUUGAGGAAUGAGAAUCAGCUAGAGGUAAAGAAGAUGUUUCAUCAUUGCAGUAAUUAUCCAAUGGGAAGAUCUGACCUGUCUGCUCAGGUAAAUCCAGGUGGAGACUUUUUUUUGGCCAGGCGGUGUAUUUUAGCUGAUUUGUUCCUUUAGGAGAAGAAAUGUCUUUGAGUCUGACAGAAACUGACAAAAAACAAGUUUAAAAUGUGGUCAAACAUCUAUGUUAAAGGUUCAUUUGGGAUGUUAGCCUCUGGUUCUCCAGUAGAUCAGCCACCAGACAGCACUGAAAUGUUACCAUAAGAAGCUAGCACUGAAAACUCUCUGCCGUGUCCCAGAAGAACAUGUAGCUAGUUAGCUGUUAACUGUUAGCAGUUAGCUGGUGUUAGCAGGUAUGUACUGUAUUUGUCCCAGACAGCUGCUUAUUUCCACAUGAUCGAUGCACCUGAAGAGUCUACGUCCAGCUUUUCCUCUGUCUUCACUCCAUUUGUUUUAUUCUUCUUCGAAUGUUGUGGCCGUUUUUUGGAUUAGCAUCAAGCUAAAUGUUCACUGGAGGUGUUUUACAUGUUGAUCUAAGUUGACCUGCAUUUGUAAAAUAGCUGUGAUGUAAUUUAGGCCUUUUUGUUUUCUGAACUAGCUCUCCGUCUGAAGCUAACGUAUAAGAGCGUGAGCGUCAUUUGGGAUUAGCGGUGACUGACUGGAGGUUUGUUGUCACUAAAAAUUAUUUAACGUCACUGUGAUUAUUUUUAAGAUGCUAAUUGGGAUCUUACCUUUUUGCGUGUUAGCAAGCUAAUGUAGUUAGCUAUUGUCCUCUUUAGCAGUUUCAGUCACAGUUUCCUCUUAGUCCAUCUAUAUGUUACGUAGCUAAAUGUGCAGCUAAAGCUAAAGGAUAAAUUAGUGUUAACUAUAACUUUAAUAUGUAGCAGCUGGUCAGAGCUAAAUGUAAGCUUGGCCUCCAAGCUGACUGUUUUAGCGUUAGUCAGCUAAUCAGGAUCAGUUCAUCUGUUAACUAGCCUGUUAGCUCAGGAAGCUAACACCAGAGAGUUGUCAGAUGUAACUAGGUUGUAGGUGAGAAGUCGACAUGCUGCUGCUAAUCCUAACGUAUGAAAUGUUCAUCGGUGGCGACGUGUACGGACCCUUAGCCUGUUAGCUCAUUAGUCUUUCCAGCUCCCCAGCAUGCAAUGCAGCAUCUCUGAAUCCUAGAGGCUGUUUCUGCCGUAUUUUCUGUCUCACAAACACUCGUCCAGACGACAGUCUCACCUUUACCUGUAAACAUGUGCUCGGGUAACUGCUGUUGUUGCGCUACAGCUCUGUGAGUCCAGGUAGAGGAAGAGUCCAGGUAGAGGACAGGUCUAGGUAAAGGACGGGUCCAAUGUGGAGUUUGGGACUAGAAAUGGAGUUCUAACAAGCCAAUAACAAGAUGAUGUGUAAAAAGCUAAACUCCCACAAUGCUCUCUGCUUCAACUGUAGUCUGAGUGACUCCUCUGGUCUCUACAGGAUUAAACAGGAAGAGGCUCCACCUGGUGGAACAACCAGGAACUACAGCUGAUCUAAUUUACUGACAUCAUGGUACUACAGUACUACAGUAGUACUACAUGUACCCUCAAAUACUGCAUUUACCCUCUAGUACUACAUUCACCCUCAAAUACUACAUUUACCCUCUAGUACUAUAUUUACCCUCUAAUACUACAUUUACCCUCUAGUACUACAUUUACCCUCUAAUACUACAUUUACCCUCUAACAUAUUUCAGAUAAAAAUUAAGUCCAAAACAGGGUUAAUGUCUAAUCUAAUCUAAAACUGGUCCAGAGCCUGUCUAACACCAGUCCAAAAUCCAUCCCAGACAGGUUUUCUUCCUGCUGACAAUCAGAGCAGAAAUCUGUUCUGGGACUUUGUGGAGAAGCUGUUGUUCCAGAGUGUUUGGUGCUGGAGGAGUUUCCACAUCCAGAAGCCUCCUGAGCUGCUCUCCUGGAUAAAAUGAUUUUUUGUAUUUCCCGUCUUCACGCUGUUGGACAGAAACAUGAAACUUUCUUGGGGCUAAAGCUGAGUGACUCCAUUUCUUCUCCCUAAAUGAAACACUGGACUGUAGAUGAACCUCAGAAGGUCAGACAGAAGCUGAACAAGAAAGGCUGAAGCCACGAAACCGUAAACCAGAACGUUAGCAUCAGGUCUAGAGAAAGGUUUUUAGUGUUGUUGCAUGUUCUGUUUGGAUAGUCAGCCAGCAGUAAUGAUGAAGUCUGUCCAUAAAUGUAGCCGUUAGCUGUUAGCCGUUAGCCAUUAGCUAGGGACAUGAAUACAGCUAACAGUCACUCAGAGCUUUUCAGACCUGCAAUGUUUGAUUUCUAAAUGAAGUUCGGCUCUAAAAUGAAACAACAAACCCUGCAGAGAGUUUGUUGUCAGAUGGUGAAGGUAGGUGAUCAUUUUAGUCUUUCUUUGAUCCAUCCGUUGAUUUUCUGAUUGUUUGAAAUACACUAACUUCUGAUUGUCUUAAAUGACACAAACUGAACAAGUACAAAGAUUGUUUUAUCACAAAUGUUCUGUGAGCCGUAUGCAGUUUUAAAAUGGUUCUACUUCUGUUCUAGUCAUUAUGAUUGAUGUAAUUUUAACAGGUAGAACACCUGAUAGCACCAGAUACAAACCACUUCAAAGGCAGUUUUUACUCAGAUAUCAGUAAAUAUUGUAGUUUCCUGUUCAAACCUGUCUGGUUUCACAAAGUUUCACUGUCAGAUUCUCUGCAGACUUUUCCUGUCUGUAGUGUUCUGCUGCUCUGCUCUGAUUGUUCGGUGUUUCCAGGUCUCUACGUAGAUCCAUCAGUAGACGACUAAACUACGUACUCAGCCACUGAUGAAAGAAAUGAACUUUCUGCUUGGGAAGAACUGAAGGUUUAUUAGAGCUCAGUUUAGUUGAAUGGAAAUGUCAUUUUGUAAUUUUGUGGAGACGUUGACCAACAACAGUUCAGUUUAUCUUCUGAGAAUCUGCUGAUUUUAUUGAUUGACUGAAGAGCAGCUACAGUUUCAGUUUGGUUCGGAGCAGAGCUACUGAGAUCAGAACAUGAUCCUGCAGAUCUUUGUGAAGCCAGCAGGACUGAAGUGUAGCCGAACAGCUUUAGAGGCAGAAACUCACUGAGAAAUUUAUCCUGUUCAAACUUCCAGGAAAACCAAUCAGCAGCGAAGCCAAGAAUGUCUGGAUCUGCGGACACUCGCUGGUGUACUGGGCCGAGUCCCGAGCCAAGUUCCCGGAGGUAGGUAUGCAGCUGGGCAUGGAUCCCAGCAGGGUGUCCAUCUGGUGGAAGGGCA